rnacentral:rRNA from 1 species
AUUGAACGCUGGCGGCAUGCUUUACACAUGCAAGUCGAACGGUAACAGGGUGCUUGCACCGCUGACGAGUGGCGAACGGGUGAGUAAUGCGUCGGCACGUGCCGAGUAGUGGGGGAUAACGCAGCGAAAGUUGUGCUAAUACCGCAUACGUACUGAGGUAGAAAGUGGGGGACCUUCGGGCCUCACGCUAUUCGAGCGGCCGACGUCUGAUUAGCUAGUAGGUGAGGUAAAGGCUCACCUAGGCGACGAUCAGUAGCGGGUCUGAGAGGAUGAUCAGCCACACUGGGACUGAGACACGGCCCCGACUCCUACGGGAGGCAGCAGUGGGGAAUUUUGGAAAAUGGGCGAAAGACUGAUACAGCCAUGCCGCGUGUCUGAAGAAGGCCUUCGGGUUGUAAAGGACUUUUGUCAGGGAGGAAAUCCCUAGUGCUAAUAACACUGGGGGAUGACAGUACCUGAAGAAUAAGCACCGGCUAACUACGUGCCAGCAGCCGCGGUAA